UGGAUUUAUUAAAUAAUUUGUUAAGAUCUGUUAUGACUUUUAUUAUAUCUAAUAUUUUAGUAUAAGGACUUUUAACACAUUAUUAUUUCUAAACACUAUAACCAUGUUAAAAACUAAUACAAGUCAGUUUAAGGCAUUGAUGUAUAGUAUUAUACGUAAAGCAUGCUAUUUAUUAACGACGCAUUACGAUCGCAGACGUUUAAUUAAUUUUAGCGUAACGUUACGUCUUACCGGAAGUUGACAGUGAGUAUUUCCGGAACACGUGUCCGCCCGUGUUACAGCUGGACGAGCGGGUGUCAAGAGGAGUGACAGCAAAUAUGAUUUCCCCCACAGACUCUCAAAAAAUUGGAAUAGGGCUAACUGGGUUUGGUGUGUUUUUUAUCUUCUUUGGGAUGAUCCUGUUUUUUGAUAAAGCCCUACUUGCCAUAGGAAAUAUCUUUUUCGUUAUCGGCCUGUCGUUCGUCAUUGGGUUGGAAAGGACUUUCAAGUUCUUUUUCCAGAAACACAAGAUGAAAGCUACCACCUUUUUCUUGGGGGGCGUCAUCGUGGUGUUGAUCGGAUGGCCCAUCAUCGGAGUGGCUCUAGAGUCUUAUGGCUUCUUUCUGUUAUUUAGGGGUUUCAUUCCAGUGGUUAUCGGUUUCUUCAGAAGGAUCCCUGUACUUGGAUAUUUGCUGAAUCUUCCAUUCAUAAGUGUGAGGUGACGUUUAGCGGCUUUUGCAUCCGAGCUCUUCAUACUUUGGCCUUUUCUGGCCAUGAUUUCUUCAUGUGUUCUCCCUAACACCAACAACUGCUUCCUUACAUGGACAAAGCAAGCGAAAGCAACAACAUGGUUUAACAAAGACAGAUUUUUCUUAUUUAUGAUGGAUUUUGAAACUUUACCCUGAAACAGUCAUGUGAAACAUGGGUUAACAUUGUAAGGAUGAGCAUUUGUGAUAUCUAUGACAUUGAGAGGCAAUCGGAGUGGCUUGGAAAAUAAGCCACGCCCACUUCUUGCCAGGCACACCAAAUCUAUGGAGCUGCAUCACAUGGCCCAGCAUCACUGCAUCCUAGAGGAACUCAACGUGUAUACUUGUUAAAUGCCUACUUCAUGAAGAAGUCAGCAGAAGUUAUCCCAUGAUGGACGAUUUGUUGAACAGGUUUAAGAGAGUCCUGGUUUUUUAUUGACUACUGCAAGUCUCUAUUCUGUUACAAUGAUUAUUUUAAUGAAGACAGAGUCAAGUGAAUAAUUUAAAGUCUUUUUUCUGUCAAAUCUGUGUACAAGUGCAAUAUUCAGAUUUCUUGUAAUUAUCUUAUAAACUUAUAGGUGAUGACUAACAGGCAUAAUGUUACCAUUGUUCUUUUGGCAAGUUAUCUUGUUAUCAAGUUAUCUCAACAUUGGGGUUUGAUAGUGGUUCGCGGUCAUGCACUUUUGUAAAUAAAUGUAUUUACAAAAUCUGCCAUUUGUUUUUUAUUGGGCUUUGGGGGCUUCCUGCUUUAUUUUACAGAUAGAUCUUGACAUGAUUACAAUGGACCCUAACCUAUGCAUUUGAAAAUUACAUAUUACAGAUUUAGAAUGAGUUCACACCAAUAAUAAAAUAA